AUACGCUAGCGGCGUGCUUCACACAUGUCAGUCGAACGGAAAAGAUAACAUCUUUUUAGUGGCGGACGGGUGAGUAUAUGAGAAUUUGCCCUUAUGGCAGAGGAUAACAAUUAGAAAUAAUUGCUAAAACUCUAUAUGUUGGAAACAAUGAAAAAAGAAAUUUACCUACAGGAGAAGCUCACAUUUGAUUAGCUAGUUGGUAGGGUAAGAGCCUACCAAGGCGACGAUCAAUAGUUGGUCUGAGAGGACGAUCAGCCACAACUGGAGCUGAGACACGGUCCAGACUCCUACGGGAGGCAGCAGUGAGGAAUAUUCCGCAAUGGGCGAAAGCCUGACGGAGCAACGCCGCGUGAGGGAUGAAGGCCUACGGGUAGUAAACCAUCUAAAUUCCAAGGAGGAAGAUCUGACGUUACUUGGAGAAUAAGCAUCGGCUAACCCUGUGCCAACAGACGCGGUAAUACAGGGGAUGCAAGUGUCAUCCGGAUACAACGGGCGUACACGUCUACAGGUGAUAUACAAGUCUACUGACAACUCUUGGAACUAACUCCAACAUGAAAAGAAACUAAAAUCUAGAGUAUCGUCGAGUACA
rnacentral:rRNA from 1 species